UUUUACAAUGGAGAGUUUGAUCCUGGCUCAGGAUGAACGCUAGCGGCAGGCCUAAUACAUGCAAGUCGA
rnacentral:rRNA from 1 species